rnacentral:miRNA from 1 species
AAUCUCAUUGACCGGAAGGGAUUCCUUCCCGUCGAUGAGGUAUAACAACCUCAUCGACCGGAAGGGAUUCCUUCCCGUCGAUGAGGUA